rnacentral:rRNA from 1 species
AACGAACGCUGGCGGCAGGCUUAACACAUGCAAGUCGAACGCACCGCAAGGUGAGUGGCAGACGGGUGAGUAACGCGUGGGAAUCUACCCAGUUCUUCGGAAUAACUGAGGGAAACUUCAGCUAAUACCGGAUACGCCCUACGGGGGAAAGAUUUAUCGGAAUUGGAUGAGCCCGCGUAAGGUUAGCUAGUUGGUGGGGUAACGGCCUACCAAGGCGACGAUCUUUAGCUGGUCUGAGAGGAUGAUCAGCCACACUGGGACUGAGACACGGCCCAGACUCCUACGGGAGGCAGCAGUGGGGAAUAUUGGACAAUGGGCGAAAGCCUGAUCCAGCCAUGCCGCGUGAGUGAUGAAGGCCUUAGGGUUGUAAAGCUCUUUUAGUGGGGAAGAUAAUGACGGUACCCACAGAAAAAGCCCCGGCUAACUUCGUGCCAGCAGCCGCAGUAACAC